GUAAUAUGUUAGUUCUUUGUGUGUAUUUGGGAUGGGCUAUGAAUGGAUGGAAAGAGAAGCAAGAAGGAGCAGCUGACGUUUGGUCUGAAAUUAGACAAACUACCACCAGUGCAGGACUAGAGGAAAAGGAUGGCUUCUCUGGACCUGGCUGGCCUUUUACUGAUAAAACCAAGGAUGCAGUUGGGCAUCUACAGCCACAAGGUCACACUUACAGGACUUAUUUUCAUCUUUUGUCCACCUGGACCCUCACAUACUUUCUUUGCAGAACUGAUUCUGGUGUAAAACAAACAGUAAAAAGUGUAUGUGCAUCUGCAGAGCCCAAACUGUAAAAAAUGGGAUGGAUCUCCAUAGCUCUCAAGAACUUUCGAAUAAAUUGGGCUAUGCAUUAACUAUUUCUCUGUGGUGAAAAAAUAAUGGCAAAAUACAUCCUAAUAAUUUCAUUUAUGUAGUCUGAUCUAAACAAACAAAUGCAGGGUUGUUUUUCCAUCUCCUUUUUCUUUUUCCCUGGCAAAAUGUGAUAACAUAACUGUUCCUUGGCAAGAGAAACUCAUAUUUCUUCACAACAGACUCCUCUGCAUAUGUUGAAAUGGCAAAAUCAGAUAAAAUGUUCCUGUUAUUGGAAAAGAAACUCCAAACAAUUCAAAACUCAAGGUCAUUAUGACUGACAGGAUGCUGGAGAGUCACUGACACUAAAGGAUUUGACUGCCUUUCAAACAUAUGUAUCAGAUGGUAGUUUUCUUUCUAAAUUAGACAUUUGCUGGUAGAAAUCCAAUCAGGUCAAGAGAUAUUACAUUUCAGAGUUUAGAUGCCUCUUGAUACUCAUCAGCUUAUCUUUGGUAUCGUAUUUUGGUGUAGCAUCUCUUUGCUCAUGCUGAAACUUAAAGAGGUGUCUCAACUCCCACGCUUCAACACCCACCUCCUCUGAUGUCUUACUUUUCUGACCCCUGCAUUAGGUAACGGUUUGGUAACAGCCUACAUGAGUGGUUUACAAAUCCAGAAACCCUUGAACUUACAAAGGUGCUGCUAAAAUGAUGGUGACUUUCUGCUUAGUGCAGAGGUUGAGCUGGCAAGAGCAAAUAUGAGAAGGAUCUGCAGUGUGUUCAGGGACAGCAGCUUUUGUCAUGGGAUUAAACCAUAAAAUGCUGCAGCUGCUCCCAUGGCCAGGAAAGUGAAGAAGGUCAGGAACAAUCCCAGUAGAGCCCUACAGCAGCAGGCUCAGGAAGCAAAUUGAAUGUGGGGAAUUAUCAAUAUAUUUGCAUAAUUUUGAAUAUUUUUUGUGUCAUCCCAAACACGAAUUAGCUCCUGUCUAGAUAAUUUUCUUUUUCUGUUUCUCUACUAGACACCAACAGAGUGUGGAAGUGGGGGUUUGCAGAAAUAUCAAGUAAAAGCAUGUUGGUUAUGCCCUGGGUGUCUGCAGUGAUUUCAGGAUUUUGACAUGCCUUAGUUCUUGCUGCCUCGGACAAGCAGUCGACUUUGUCUGUACAGAAUAUGGAUAUCUGAGCAAAGGUUUUGUUACAGAAGAAUCUUCCCCCUAAAGCCUCUGUUGAAUGUUUGGUUUACGUUCCUGUUACUUUGCCGUACUUAAAUUGAGGAUUUCUUACAUAAAUAAGUACUACCUUAAACAAAAUAAGAUGAAGCUUUUACAAAUGUAUUUUAAGGUUAUUGAAGCACUGAUGAAUUAUGUGUUGAUUACGUACUUAAAAUGAUUAUAUAAUGGUUGUCCUAAGAGGUCUUAGGGAAGAAAAAAGCACGGGCUCAUGCUGAACAUGUAACAAGAAAAGACAAUAUUUCAAGAGCUGAAACUACUAAGAGAAUAGUUUGACUCUCAUUGAGUAUUUCACUCCAUAUCAAGCAAGUCAAUCUCAGGGAAAAAAAAAAGCAUAAUUUCUGGAGGUGUUAAUGUGCCUGACAUUAUAAUAACAGAAGUAGAUAUGGCCCCUUUUCAUCUUAGAUAUUUGAGCUCUUACUGAAGGGAAAAUGCCUACUUGUGCACAUAGGGGCUUUCAAAAGCCUAUGAGGUUUGCAUUGACCAUAGUGAUCCUGGGUGACGUUUUGCCUUGGAAGGUAGAUUUUGUUCAGCUUGUGUUGUAGAUGAUCAGGAAUUUGUGGACUUUUCACUCCCCGUGAUGUGCAGAGGCCCAGAGCAGAGCUUGCUGACUCAGAAGGGGACACACUGUUCCCUCACACACCUCUACAACUGGACCAUCAGAGAGGGGAAAGUCAUCUGGACCCACCUUCCUCAAAGCAACAAAGGUUUUUGGUGUAUAGGGCCCUACAGCUGACAUUUGCAUCCACAUAGUAUCCUGGUCCCACAGCACAGAAGAACGCAUGCCGCUUUCUAUCAACUGACAAAUGGAGAGCUUGGACGAGUGCUAAAAAUUCAGAACUGCCUUCCUGGAAAAGAUGACUCCAGAAUAACAGAAACCUCUGGAAGUUUUCAGCUUAAUGGAUUAUUGGCUGUACUGUGCUCUGAGAUCCCAGCUCAACUCUCUGAUACCAUCAUACCAAUGAGUACACGACAUACGGGAUUAGGACAUUCAGUAUCUAUUAUUUAGCACUCCCAUGUAUCUUUUUUUUUCCAAAGGCACAUAAAGAUUGAGGAAACAUUGAGUGGUCAUCUAGGCCUGCUGUCAACUCUGAGGCGGAAGCAAGAAGAGCUGGAUUUACUUUUGACAUAUUUGCCAAGGUCUGUUUUAAACUCUCCACUAAAGAAGAUACUUUGACCCUCCUCAGACUGUUGGAGUUACUUCACUAUCAUUGCACUUGUGUUUUUUGUUACUCUUACCACCUCAGCCUUUGCUGAUUAAACCAAUUUAUUUUCACCCCCUUUCUCCUUAGGAAUGUUGAAGAGUCCCAUCCAUAUAACAAUACCUCAUUUAUCAAAAAGCUGAAACUUUGCUCUUCAUCCUCUCUUUUCUAGACUGAACAAACUUGGUUCCUCCAAAUCUUACUCCACAAAUCAUGCUCUUAAACCUCUUCCAGUUUUUAAGAUGGUUCUCUGAAAUCUCUCAAGUUUGAGCAAAUUUUCAAUUGCAGUGCCUAAAUCUGAAGGCAGUAUUCCAGCUGCAGACCCCACUGUACAAAUAGAGAACAAUAAUUACCUUAUACCAACAUAGUCUGGGUUGGAAUUUUACUUUUUUCACCAACUUCCAUGCUGGUUCUAUUUUGCCUGUGUUCAGGCCCAGUCUGCUGGGGAGGGGACACCUAUAAAGACAUGAUUUCUCAUUAUUCCCCUUGCUUGACUUUUGUAACACGUGGUAUUUUUUUUUAAUUGCAUGUCACCCUGAGGAUUUUUGAACUUCUGUCAAGUUUACCAAAGUGGCUGAAAAUCCUGGUUCUCUUCUCAAGAGUUUUGUUUUGUGUUUUGUUUUAUCUAACUUGCAAGCUGCAAAAGUUUUCAGAUUUCUCUGUGUCUCCAUGGUCAAAUCACCAAUGAAAAUGUUAAAUAAAACCAGAUUCAGAACAGAUCCUCAAGGACCUUCACCUGAAACACCCUCCCAUUUACAGAAAACCAAAAUGAUGUCCUUUUCCUCUCCAAGUUUUUGAGCAGUGAUUUUCUGAAUAAUAUAUGUAAAAUAUAGGCCAUAUUCCCUAACUUGUUUGACAAGUUCACACCAGGGCAACAUGAAGAACUUUUAUGACCUGUUGCCCUGUCUUCUUUCUCUCAAUUUAUGUAGGCUAAAAUAUCAGUCAGAGAGGGAAAUGAAGUUGCUUUAACAUAAUUUGUUCUUGACAGUUACACAUUGGCUGUAUUUUUAUCACCUUACUAUGAUGUAAGUGCUUAUGAAAUGUUUAAUAAUUCCACUAUUUCCAGAAACUGAAGCUGAGGGCAUUUCAGGUACUUCUGAUUCCUUUUUAAAUGCAUACUGAUAUAUUUUCUGUUCUCUUGAAUCUGUUCCUCACUCCCAUGAACCAUGAGUUUUUAAGGAUAGUUUUCACUGACUCAGAUUUCUUAAGUAUCUGUACAAAAUGGUGUCUCAAAGGCAGGGUGAGAAGAGAUUCUGAAAGCCUGAUAUGUCUAAAUCCUGAGAUACGCUUUUGGAGAUCAGUUUCUAUGUAAGUCUUAUUUCUCAUGGAGGCAAAAUUAGGCUGUUAGUGUCAGGAAAGGUAUAAAUCUUGGAGGGAGCUGCAGAAGUGACUCAGGCUUCUGAAGAUAAAAUGCAUGAGAAGUUUGAGCUGAAAUUAAAGAGCAUAAAAAAGGUAUAAAUAGUAAUAAAGCUGUGUAAUUGCAUCUCUUUCGCUUACCUCAGAACACUUCUGGCAAUAAUUUAGCGGCAACUGGUGAGAAAUGUUAUUCCUUUCACAGAGGAGAAAAGUCCUAAAAAUUAUUAAUCGCCUCACAUGACCUUCUGAAAGUAGGUUUUGCAAACUGGGGAACCAGACUGCCAUUUUUCUCCACUAGGUGUUGGAUGUUUUCUUUGACUUUGUUAAUAUUGGUGCUGUUUUAACAUGCCCAGUUAUGAACUGACAAACGCUGCACUCUCCAUAGAAAAUGUCCUUAUGGAGCACAUUACAUGCUAGAGUUGCUCCUUCUUUUUAUAAUGCAGACUUUAGGUUGGAUUAUAAAUAAGACCUCAAUUAAAUGACGCUACGAAACAUACCUUUACCUGCACUGUAUUUCUUCAUCUGUUUCUCUGUUCAGUGCUUAUUUAUAGGUAAUAGCUGUUGCUCUGCUUUGGAGUUGUGUUUCACUGAAGUUAAUAUUUCUCA